CUGCCCGGAGAGGAGCCUUCUUCGCAGGGCUGGGUCACUUAUUCUGCACAGGAAGAUGCAUUGGAAUUCGCGCAGGCGCAGUCCCGCUCGGAAUUAGCCCACCUUAAAAAUAAAUAAGUGGAAAAGGGACGGGAGACCGCGGGGGUGGGAGGGUCGCUCCAGAAACUCGUCGACACCCCCUUGCCCCCCCCGCACGGAAUGCAGAGCUUUCUCCUGUCUCUGAAGCCCCCCAAAGCGAGGGGGAGAGAGAAAGGUAUUCAUCUUCCGGAGGUGUGGCCAUGCUUAUCUCUUGAGGCAAAGAACAGCGAGUCUUGUGUCAAGUUAAAAGCGCGGUCCUAAGCAUACAUACUCAGGGAGGCGUGGCCGCGUUACGUUCUUGCAGCUGAAAACAACAAGUGGUGUGACAUUUUAAAGCUGCCGGCCUAACUGUGUCUGCUCAGAAGGGUAAGUCCUAUUGCAUAGGGCUUACUCUCAGAUAAGGCUGCACAACACAUUUACUCAGGCAUAAGGUUAUUAUUAUUGCCAACCACCGUUUUAUUGUGUUUACAUUAGUAACCCUGUUCCACAGUAGUUAUUCAUUAAAAACAUGUAAUAUAAACAUUAAAACAGAUUAAAUGUGACAACUCCCACACCCAGACGAUUAUGAUUUAUUGAUUCGGCUUGCAUCCCACUUUUCCAUUUGAGAGCUCAGAACAUCUUUAGUGAAUAUUAUCAUUACUCAUCUUCCAGAGGUGUAGCCAUGAUAAGCGAUUGCAGCCCCAAACGGGUCUUGUGGCAACUAAAAAGUGUGGUCCUAACCAUGCCUGCUCAGAAGUUAGCCUUAUUGCAUUCAAUGGGACUUAUCCAGUUAAGUGGUUAGGAUGCCUAUUGCAUUUAUUAUGGCAUAAGCUCUGCUUCAUAUAUAUAUGAUGUGGGUGUUGUUGACAGGAAGACUGGAAGUAUUUGAAAUGCUGAGAAUCACGUUAUUGACAGUGGCUAUUCACACAUGCAAAGCAACAGUUCCUCUUGGUAACAGACUUCUUUUUGGCAUUGGUGUCAAUGAACAGCUAGUACAAUUAAAAAACAAAACAUUGUGUUGAUUCCGUUCACAAGUGGUGGCACUGAAUCUGCAGCAGUUUCAAGGUGCAGUCUCUUUUUGUUCAAGGGUUUCUGCCUUAAGUUCAGUUGCUUUACACAGCAUCCUGGGAGGCUGAAAUAUUUUUGCACUGGGGAAACAAGACCCAGGGAAUUAACUGGUCCCACAGGUUCUUUGGGUAGCAGGGCUUCUGGAGCCAGCCCACCUUCCCGUCCCCUCCUGCAUAUGCCCUUUCCCUUCUAAUUCAGGGUCCUUGGCUCAUCACCUGUGUAAUGUUUCUGGGUCAACGACAGAUAUAAAGAAUUAGGAGUAGUUUUUAUAAAACAAGCUUUAUUCAGAGUAGUCUCCAAGACCCUCUGCUGGAACUGAAACUCAAGGCCUAAGGAACGGCCCAGGGUCCUGUGACUCCAGAGGUAAGUCCUCAGAUUGCCAAGCCUUUAACCUUGAAUAAGUUAUAAAAUGUGAACAAAAAAUGAAAUGAUUUUUUUUUAAACCCAUAAGAUUAUUACUAUAGACAUAUAUGUUGAUUCUGCUGCAUGAACUGCAUAGAGACAGAUGUAUCUACUAUGGAACUUAAUUGAGCUUGACUAAUGAAUUACACUAAACAUUUUACACUCUACAUUUUAGCACAUCUCUCUAUAAGUCGUUCUGGAGAUUUUAUCUUUCUGGUAGAACACCUCAAUGUUUGUUCCACAAUAACCAGUAACUUGUUAUUUGCUGGUUUCAGUUUUGGCCUUGACAGACCUUGAUAAUCCUUUCCAGAUAAAAUAUUCACAUGAGCGCCAGUGUUCAGUUUAAAUGAAAUGGAUAUCUCAUUCACCUGCAUAGAGAGGAUCCAGUCGCUUUCACUAGUCUUUCUUGCUUUUGCUACAUCAACAUACUGUACAACUCAUCUGAAAUAUCUUCAACAGUGUGCACCUGAUUUUUCUUUCUUUCUCUGGCUUGGUAACACAUUGCAAAAUUAUCCCCACAGUUAAAACAGCUUCCCCCCACCCCAUGCUCAACGGUUUAGGACCAUGUGGCAUUCCACAUUUUUUGCAGGCUUCUUUCUUUUGUAUUAUUAUUAUAUUUUUAUUUAUAC